AAACAUUUGAAGAGGCUGGGUCUUGUAAUCCUUUUUGCAUUUGAAGUAUGAUUUAUAUGAACAGCUGAUUAUUCAAAUCUCAACUACCAGCUUCUUCCCUGCAAUCAAGUAUUUAGAGUUUUAUCCUGGAUUCAUAUUUUCAGCUCAAGCGUGGGCACAAACUGAACACAAAAUGGACAAGCCCCUGUACAAAAACAUAACUCUAAGGGAAUGGCUGUCACAUUUAUUUAUUUAUUGUUACUGUUGAAGGAAUGGAUAAUGAGAUGAAGAUGAUGAGAUGAAAAGAGAUAAUGGGACAAAAAGAGAGUGAACUUUCAUUUUCUUCUGUUCUUCUUCCUCAGGUGCACGUCUCCGCAUUUACAGCUCAAGCAGUGCAUCCACAUUCUGGACAUGUUGGACUUUUCAGCUCUCUAAAGAACGCUAUCAGAGUGCCCUCGAUACACAAGCUGCCUAGCUGCCCUUGGGAAAUGCUCUCUGUGCAGUUGCUUCAAGUUCUGUGCAAAUGA
rnacentral:lncRNA from 1 species